rnacentral:tRNA from 1 species
ACCUGGGUAGCUCAGUUGGUUAAGCAUCUGACUUUGGCUCAGGUCACGAUUUCACAUUUAGUGGGUUCGAGGCCCACAUCAGGCU